rfam:Gregarina niphandrodes unplaced genomic scaffold scaffold00176, whole genome shotgun sequence.
GGGCACCAAGUCAUUAAGGGGAAAGCUGGGUUCGAGCCUCGAUUCUUUUAAAUACCGUCAAAGGAUCGACAGCGAACAAAUGCCGUGAGGGAAAGUUGAAACGAUCCCCGAAAGGAGUAUCAAAAGACCUGAAACCAUGAUCGUGGAAACUAAUUGACACGUAACCGUUGAUGUCUUUUGAGGAAGUCAUUUAUUUAUUCACGUUAAGAUCAGACCCAUCUUGAAACACGGAUCAAGGAGUUGUUCACUAUUGCGAGCAGAACAGUGAAAAACUGGAAUGCGUAGAGAAAUCAAAGCGAUUUUCAAAACAGACCAAUAAUCUAUUGAGUUAGAGUGGUAGUGAUCAGACCCGAAAGAUGGAAAAGAAAUUCUGAUGGAAGCUUUAAGCGACACUGAUGUGCAAAUCGCUCGUAAAAUUCGAUUAUAGGGGCGAAAGACUCAUCGAACCACCCAGUGGCUGGUUCCCUCCGAAGUUUCCAUCAGGACAGCUGAAAAUAGUAAAGUUGAAACUGGUAAAGACAAUGAUUAGGGGAUCCGGAGACCUUUUGGCCUUUGACCUAUUCUCAAACUUGAGAUAGUUUCGGAAGUAUUUGACUUAAUUUCGAAUGCUUUAUCAAUUAUAUUUUCAGGUGGGCCAAUUUUGGUAAGCAGAACUGGNNNNNNNNNNNNNNNNNNNNGACACGUAACCGUUGAUGUCUUUUGAGGAAGUCAUUUAUUUAUUCACGUUAAGAUCAGACCCAUCUUGAAACACGGAUCAAGGAGUUGUUCACUAUUGCGAGCAGAACAGUGAAAAACUGGAAUGCGUAGAGAAAUCAAAGCGAUUUUCAAAACAGACCAAUAAUCUAUUGAGUUAGAGUGGUAGUGAUCAGACCCGAAAGAUGGAAAAGAAAUUCUGAUGGAAGCUUUAAGCGACACUGAUGUGCAAAUCGCUCGUAAAAUUCGAUUAUAGGGGCGAGAGACUCAUCGAACCACCCAGUGGCUGGUUCCCUCCGAAGUUUCCAUCAGGACAGCUGAAAAUAGUAAAGUUGAAACUGGUAAAGACAAUGAUUAGGGGAUCCGGAGACCUUUUGGCCUUUGACCUAUUCUCAAACUUGAGAUAGUUUCGGAAGUAUUUGACUUAAUUUCGAAUGCUUUAUCAAUUAUAUUUUCAGGUGGGCCAAUUUUGGUAAGCAGAACUGGCGAUGAGGGAUGCUCCUACCGUUUAGCAAAAGUGCCUAAGUAGAUGCAAAGGAGAUACCCAAAGGAUGUUACUUCAUUGAGACAAAGGAUGUUACUUCAUUGAGACAUCUCACCGAUUCUNNNNNNNNNNNNNNNNNNNNACGUAACCGUUGAUGUCGUUUGAGGAAGUCAUUUAUUUAUUCACAUCUUGAAACACGGAUCAAGGAGUUGUUCACUAUUGCGAGCAGAACAGUGAAAAACUGGAAUGCGUAGAGAAAUCAAAGCGAUUUUCAAAACAGACCAAUAAUCUAUUGAGUUAGAGUGGUAGUGAUCAGACCCGAAAGAUGGAGAAGAAAUUCUGAUGGAAGCUUUAAGCGAUACUGAUGUGCAAAUCGCUCGUAAAAUUCGAGUAUAGGGGCGAAAGACUAAUCGAACCACCCAGUGGCUGGUUCCCUCCGAAGUUUCCAUCAGGAUAGCUGAAAAUAGUAAAGUUGAAACUGGUAAAGACAAUGAUUAGAGGAUCCGGAGGCCUUUUGGCCUUUGACCUAUUCUCAAACUUGAGAUAGUUUCGGAAGUUUUUGACUUAAUUUCGAAUGGUUUAUCAAUUAUAUUUUCAGGUGGGCCAAUUUUAGUAAGCAGAACCGGCGAUGAGGGAUGCUCCUGCCGUUUAGCAAAAGUGCCUAAGUAGAUGCAAAGGAGGUACCCAAAGGAUGUUACUUCAUUGAGACAUCUCACCGAUUCUAAACCAGGCUUCAAAUAUUGAAGUCUGUCUAGGAGGGCGUGAGAAUUGCAAUUACAGUCAUGUGUGAACGUGAUUUGAGCGAUUCGUAGUGCAGAUCUUGGUGGUAGUAAGUAAAGUUGUGUGAAACACACAACGGCCGUGGAAUAGGGUUCCGAGAGAACAGUAAUUGUGCUCGGGUGAGUCGGUCCUGGGGCAGGUCAUGUUGAUUCUAAAUCUAUUCGAUUUAUGCCCAAAGGAAUAACGGUUGAUAUUCCGUUAUAAAAACGAUAAUUUGGUGACAAAAAGUGAUUGAUUCUUCAGAUAGUUUGGCAGCAGGCGCUUGCGACGCUUGACAAUGCUUGAAUCUUUUGAAUUGAUUUAGUUAGCGAAAAAGAUGAAACUUCCACUGUCAAUGGACAUGUUCCACGCGGACAUGUUCCACUCUCAAUGGGAUCUUUCGCCAACCUAUUUGGGCCUUGAACUUCCGAUUACUAUUUGCUAUUGUUGAUAACCGUGCCCUAAACCGCAUCAGGUCUUCAAGGUUAACAGCCUAUGGUUAAGUGGAAUAAAGUAGAUGAGGGAAGUCGG